GCCUCUGAUUCAAGCACUAACUCUUCCACUUUUUCCAUAUCAACAAAAUCGCAUUGGUGGAAGUUUUGUCCAAAACUCAUCAGUAGAUUUGAGGAAAGUCUUUUUCUCCUUCACGGCUAGCAUCAACAAAAUCGCAUUGGUGGAAGUU
rnacentral:sRNA from 1 species